GGGUUGUGAGGUUAAGCGACUAAGCGUACACGGUGGAUGCCCUGGCAGUCAGAGGCGAUGAAGGACGUGCUAAUCUGCGAUAAGCGUCGGUAAGGUGAUAUGAACCGUUAUAACCGGCGAUUUCCGAAUGGGGAAACCCAGUGUGAUUCGUCACACUAUCAUUAACUGAAUCCAUAGGUUAAUGAGGCGAACCGGGGGAACUGAAACAUCUAAGUACCCCGAGGAAAAGAAAUCAACCGAGAUUCCCCCAGUAGCGGCGAGCGAACGGGGAGGAGCCCAGAGCCUGAAUCAGUAUGUGUGUUAGUGGAAGCGUCUGGAAAGGCGUGCGAUACAGGGUGACAGCCCCGUACACAAAAAUGCACAUGCUGUGAGCUCGAUGAGUAGGGCGGGACACGUGGUAUCCUGUCUGAAUAUGGGGGGACCAUCCUCCAAGGCUAAAUACUCCUGACUGACCGAUAGUGAACCAGUACCGUGAGGGAAAGGCGAAAAGAACCCCGGCGAGGGGAGUGAAAAAGAACCUGAAACCGUGUACGUACAAGCAGUGGGAGCCUCUUUAAUGGGGUGACUGCGUACCUUUUGUAUAAUGGGUCAGCGACUUAUAUUCUGUAGCAAGGUUAACCGAAUAGGGGAGCCGAAGGGAAACCGAGUCUUAACUGGGCGUUAAGUUGCAGGGUAUAGACCCGAAACCCGGUGAUCUAGCCAUGGGCAGGUUGAAGGUUGGGUAACACUAACUGGAGGACCGAACCGACUAAUGUUGAAAAAUUAGCGGAUGACUUGUGGCUGGGGGUGAAAGGCCAAUCAAACCGGGAGAUAGCUGGUUCUCCCCGAAAGCUAUUUAGGUAGCGCCUCGUGAAUUCAUCUCCGGGGGUAGAGCACUGUUUCGGCAAGGGGGUCAUCCCGACUUACCAACCCGAUGCAAACUGCGAAUACCGGAGAAUGUUAUCACGGGAGACACACGGCGGGUGCUAACGUCCGUCGUGAAGAGGGAAACAACCCAGACCGCCAGCUAAGGUCCCAAAGUCAUGGUUAAGUGGGAAACGAUGUGGGAAGGCCCAGACAGCCAGGAUGUUGGCUUAGAAGCAGCCAUCAUUUAAAGAAAGCGUAAUAGCUCACUGGUCGAGUCGGCCUGCGCGGAAGAUGUAACGGGGCUAAACCAUGCACCGAAGCUGCGGCAGCGACACUAUGUGUUGUUGGGUAGGGGAGCGUUCUGUAAGCCGUUGAAGGUGGCCUGUGAGGGUUGCUGGAGGUAUCAGAAGUGCGAAUGCUGACAUAAGUAACGAUAAAGCGGGUGAAAAGCCCGCUCGCCGGAAGACCAAGGGUUCCUGUCCAACGUUAAUCGGGGCAGGGUGAGUCGACCCCUAAGGCGAGGCCGAAAGGCGUAGUCGAUGGGAAACAGGUUAAUAUUCCUGUACUUGGUGUUACUGCGAAGGGGGGACGGAGAAGGCUAUGUUGGCCGGGCGACGGUUGUCCCGGUUUAAGCGUGUAGGCUGAUUUUCCAGGCAAAUCCGGAGAAUCAAGGCUGAGGCGUGAUGACGAGGCACUACGGUGCUGAAGCAACAAAUGCCCUGCUUCCAGGAAAAGCCUCUAAGCAUCAGGUAACAUCAAAUCGUACCCCAAACCGACACAGGUGGUCAGGUAGAGAAUACCAAGGCGCUUGAGAGAACUCGGGUGAAGGAACUAGGCAAAAUGGUGCCGUAACUUCGGGAGAAGGCACGCUGAUGGUAGGUGAAGCGACUUGCUCGUGGAGCUGAAAUCAGUCGAAGAUACCAGCUGGCUGCAACUGUUUAUUAAAAACACAGCACUGUGCAAACACGAAAGUGGACGUAUACGGUGUGACGCCUGCCCGGUGCCGGAAGGUUAAUUGAUGGGGUCAGCCGCAAGGCGAAGCUCUUGAUCGAAGCCCCGGUAAACGGCGGCCGUAACUAUAACGGUCCUAAGGUAGCGAAAUUCCUUGUCGGGUAAGUUCCGACCUGCACGAAUGGCGUAAUGAUGGCCAGGCUGUCUCCACCCGAGACUCAGUGAAAUUGAACUCGCUGUGAAGAUGCAGUGUACCCGCGGCAAGACGGAAAGACCCCGUGAACCUUUACUAUAGCUUGACACUGAACAUUGAGCCUUGAUGUGUAGGAUAGGUGGGAGGCUUUGAAGUGUGGACGCCAGUCUGCAUGGAGCCGACCUUGAAAUACCACCCUUUAAUGUUUGAUGUUCUAACGUGGACCCGUGAUCCGGGUUGCGGACAGUGUCUGGUGGGUAGUUUGACUGGGGCGGUCUCCUCCUAAAGAGUAACGGAGGAGCACGAAGGUUGGCUAAUCCUGGUCGGACAUCAGGAGGUUAGUGCAAUGGCAUAAGCCAGCUUGACUGCGAGCGUGACGGCGCGAGCAGGUGCGAAAGCAGGUCAUAGUGAUCCGGUGGUUCUGAAUGGAAGGGCCAUCGCUCAACGGAUAAAAGGUACUCCGGGGAUAACAGGCUGAUACCGCCCAAGAGUUCAUAUCGACGGCGGUGUUUGGCACCUCGAUGUCGGCUCAUCACAUCCUGGGGCUGAAGUAGGUCCCAAGGGUAUGGCUGUUCGCCAUUUAAAGUGGUACGCGAGCUGGGUUUAGAACGUCGUGAGACAGUUCGGUCCCUAUCUGCCGUGGGCGCUGGAGAACUGAGGGGGGCUGCUCCUAGUACGAGAGGACCGGAGUGGACGCAUCACUGGUGUUCGGGUUGUCAUGCCAAUGGCACUGCCCGGUAGCUAAAUGCGGAAGAGAUAAGUGCUGAAAGCAUCUAAGCACGAAACUUGCCCCGAGAUGAGUUCUCCCUGAGACUUUAAGUCUCCUGAAGGAACGUUGAAGACGACGACGUUGAUAGGCCGGGUGUGUAAGCGCAGCGAUGCGUUGAGCUAACCGGUACUAAUGAACCGUGAGGCUUAACCUUACAACGCCGAAG
rnacentral:rRNA from 3 species